rnacentral:rRNA from 1 species
GAUGAACGCUGGCGGCGUGCCUAAUACAUGCAAGUCGAGCGAACGGACGAGAAGCUUGCUUCUCUGAUGUUAGCGGCGGCCGGGUGAGUAACACGUGGAUAACCUACCUAUAAGACUGGGAUAACUUCGGGAAACCGGAGCUAAUACCGGAUGAUAUUUUGAACCGCAUGGUUCAAAAGUGAAAGACGGUCUUGCUGUCACUUAUAGAUGGAUCCGCGCUGCAUUAGCUAGUUGGUAAGGUAACGGCUUACCAAGGCAACGAUGCAUAGCCGACCUGAGAGGGGGAUCGGCCACACUGGAACUGAGACACGGUCCAGACUACUACGGGAGGCAGCAGUAGGGAAUCUUCCGGAAUGGGCGAAAGCCUGACGGAGCAACGCCGCGUGAGUGAUGAAGGUCUUCGGAUCGUAAAACUCUGUUAUUAGGGAAGAACAUAUGUGUAAGUAACUGUGCACAUCUUGACGGUACCUAAUCAGAAAGCCACGGCUAACUACGUG